UAGGAGAUGCCGAAAAUCCAUAAUAGAGUAGGAA
rfam:Flavobacterium terrae strain DSM 18829 genome assembly, contig: Ga0131135_101